rnacentral:rRNA from 1 species
GACGAACGCUGGCGGCGUGCCUAAUACAUGCAAGUCGAGCGGAUCUUCAUUAGCUUGCUUUUGAAGAUCAGCGGCGGACGGGUGAGUAACACGUGGGCAACCUGCCUGUAAGACUGGGAUAACUUCGGGAAACCGGAGCUAAUACCGGAUAAUCCUUUUCCUCUCAUGAGGAAAAGCUGAAAGACGGUUUCGGCUGUCACUUACAGAUGGGCCCGCGGCGCAUGAGCUAGUUGGUGAGGUAACGGCUCACCAAGGCGACGAUGCGUAGCCGACCUGAGAGGGUGAUCGGCCACACUGGGACUGAGACACGGCCCAGACUCCUACGGGAGGCAGCAGUAGGGAAUCUUCCGCAAUGGACGAAAGUCUGACGGAGCAACGCCGCGUGAGCGAUGAAGGCCUUCGGGUCGUAAAGCUCUGUUGUCAGGGAAGAACAAGUACCGGAGUAACUGCCGGUACCUUGACGGUACCUGACCAGAAAGCCACGGCUAACUACGUGCCAGCCGCCGCAGUAACAC